rnacentral:rRNA from 1 species
ACGGGGAGAUUCAAUUGCCUCGCCGGUUGUGACCAUUUAACAGUGAUAUAUUUAUAUAAAUGAGACAUUCUAUGCGGUUAUGGUUUUAUACUGUAAUUGUUAUAUGGGUGCUCCGCUGUUUUAUGUAUAUUGUUUAUAGCCGGAGGCGUGCACUUCUCCCCUUGUAGGGCGUCGUGACCCAUUGGAUUGUUAAAAUGUUGUCUAAGGCUCAUAAUGGAGACCGUGGCAUUGUGUUUCGGCAUUAAUGACCCGGACUUAUGAUGUCCCGACAUCUAUCCGAUGGUAGUAUUAUGAUGAUGGGCCGCUAAUAAAAUAGUGUGAGCGUUCAGAUCCAUAACAAAUGCUUAUAUGUUAUAAAGUGGAAAUCGGAUUAUAUUUGCCGAUUCUACACAUAUGGUAUUGUUAGUUGUGGUAUUCUCGAACCGAUCCUUAUCAUCAGUCAACGGCGUUUAUGUUUUGGGUAAUUACAGGACCCGUCUUGAAACACGGACCAAGGAGUCUAGCAUGUGCGCGAGUCAUUGGGACUCUGUUAAACCUAAAGGCGUAAUGAAAGUAAAGUAUAUGUGAAUUUUCGUAAUUUACUUAUUUAAGGGAAGAUGGGUAACGUUAUUUAUGUUACCUCGCAUUCCCGGGGCGUCGCGUACUUAUUGCAAGUUGCGGCGCACCAAGAGCGUACACGCUGGGACCCGAAAGAUGGUGAACUAUGCCUGGUCAGGAUGAAGUCAGGGGAAACCCUGAUGGAGGUCCGUAGCGAUUCUGACGUGCAAAUCGAUCGUAUGAACUGGGUAUAGGGGCGAAAGACUAAUCGAACCAUC